CACAAACUGCAACCAUUCGUCGCCUGUAUUAAGUGGUGCAAACCCGCGGGCACGGUGAGUCUAAGUUGUCGC
rnacentral:misc_RNA from 1 species